UUCCGCAGUCAGGAUUGUGUGCCCCUACGCAAGAUUUUAUUUAGGUCAGGCUGGUUUCACCGGACAGAGGUCAUAGCUACUUGGAGAAGAAGUUAAUCAAAAGAGAUGCCGUUUAGACUCUGAACCUCAAGAGGAUGUUCAGCCCAGUGUGCUUCAGAUAUAGAGGAAAAGUCAACCGUGCAUGGAUCUGCUGCCCCUGACAAAGGAUUCCCACCCUGGGAAGGGGUGCAGGCUUCCUGUGUGCAGGGGCUUGGCUCAGCUUUCUCCACCUCCCUUCAACCUUUGUCCAGCUCAUUCUUAGGACUCUAGUCUGUGGCCUGCCCUCAAGGUGUGUAGCCUCAAAUGGAUGAAUGGACAUCAAAUCUUCUAAGCACGCCUGUGGACCCUCUCCUGGUUCUUGCUAAGAUAAUAAAACUGCUGCAGUCUUGCCAUUUGCCCUAAAUAUUGCUUUACAAUUAACAAUCUAGGGAGUGCUGUUUAGGUUUGUGUGGUUUAAACAAUCAGCAACCAAACCUCAAUGGCUUAACACAAUAGAUGUUGAUUUCUUGCUCACAUCUCCAGGGUGGAGGGGUACACUGUUGGAGGUGGGGACCCUCAGGCAGGGGCAGAGGGUAGGGGACUCUACUUCAUGAAAACACCAGCCAUCUAGCUCAGUGUCCUCCAUUGGAGCCUUGCAUUCACAGGGCAGCAGGGGUUGGGGAGGAGAGGCCAUGGGUGCCUGUACAGAAAGUUUCCAUGGCCUGGUCAAUAGGCGGUGUUCAUCACUCUCGCCCACAUGGCCACACCUCGCAUACCAGGGGGGAAAUGUAGUGCCUGGGGGUAAAGGAUGAUGGCUUGGUGAGCCUCUUGUGGUCUCUGCCACAAAACAUAAUCUCUGGCGUCAGCAAGACUUGAGCUGAAAUCCCAGUCCACCACUGAGUUGUGUGUGCUCAGAACUCUGGAGAAGCAACUGGCCACUGGUGUUAAUGGCACACACGUAGGUAAGUACUGAGGAAAGUGUUCCCAUAGAGGUCGGUCUGACUCCAGAGCUGUGGGAUUUCAGACUUGUUACUUACUCUCUGGGUCGCCAGGUUUUCAACUGG